GGUGCUAUGGUGUAGUGGUAGCACUUGGGAUUUUGAUGCGUUGUUCAGCUGUUCGAAUUUCUUCCCACAACCCAGGUUCGAACCCUGGUAGUGCCU